rnacentral:rRNA from 2 species
AGAAUGACUCUCGGCAACGGAUAUCUAGGCUCUUGCAUCGAUGAAGAACGUAGCGAAAUGCGAUACUUGGUGUGAAUUGCAGAAUCCCGUGAACCAUCGAGUCUUUGAACGCAAGUUGCGCCCGAAGCCACUAGGUUGAGGGCACGCCUGCCUGGGUGUCACAG